rnacentral:lncRNA from 1 species
GAUCUCUGUGACUUUUGUACAGGAUCCAAGAUCUACUGUACUUGGUCCAAGAUCUCACCUUUCAUUUCUGGCUUGUCUAAUUUUGUUUCAGGCCCUGGCAAAUCCAAGAGGCUCAUUCCAAGUCCCGCUGCUGAGCCCUUGGAAAGCAGGGAUGCAUCUUGGCAGUGUAUCUCACCACGGCAUGGAUAUUUUCCUGGACCAGCCACAGGAAUGGUCACAGUGUCCUCCACUAAACUCUAGUGUGGAGGAUGGCUAUUGCCACCCACACACUUCCUGCAAUUUCUGCUUAAACACAGUGAUCUUUACUUGCUGCCUGCGGUGGAAAUCCUCAGACCAAAGCAAACAGUGCCACAGAAAAAUGCUGUAAGACAACCCAGUUUUGAGGGAAGUGCCCCUGAUAACUUCUCAGCUCCAGAGAGAAGCAGUGGAGGUUGGGGCCACUGAGUCUCCAUGGAAGUCAGAGGGUAAGGUUUGUUUAACUAAUUAGUGGUAAUCCUGAAUAACUCAGUGGGCUUUAAUUUAUGGGGUUUCCACCAGGUUCUGUGUUCAGCUCCUCACGGAGCGCCUGGAUCCCUGGGUUUUGUCACACAUGGAGUCCUGGAGACUGCCAUGGCCUGGAGAUCUGAGGCGGCCAUCUAGGGCACAGGGACAUGGCUUUAGGUCAAGUGCCCUCCAGUCCUCUGUAUCUGGUGGUGGGCAAGGAUCAUCCCUGGCUGUUGUCCCAAAGGUACUCUUGGGGAUCCACAAUGCAGACUAGGAGAUGGGCAGGAUGGACACCCUUGUCCAUCCAGUCUGAGGAGGCUGACUGUAUGUGGGACCU